GAUGAACGCUGGCGGCGUGCCUAAUACAUGCAAGUCGAGCGAACGGACGAGAAGCUUGCUUCUCUGAUGUUAGCGGCGGACGGGUGAGUAACACGUGGAUAACCUACCUAUAAGACUGGGAUAACUUCGGGAAACCGGAGCUAAUACCGGAUGAUAUUUUGAACCGCAUGGUUCAAAAGUGAAAGACGGUCUUGCUGUCACUUAUAGAUGGAUCCGGGCUGCAUUAGCUAGUUGGUAAGGUAACGGCUUACCAAGGCAACGAUGCAUAGCCGACCUGAGAGGGUGAUCGGCCACACUGGAACUGGGACACGGUCCAGACUCCUACGGGAGGCAGCAGUAGGGAAUCUUCCGCAAUGGGCGGAAGCCUGACGGAGCAACGCCGCGUGAGUGAUGACGGUCUUCGGAUCGUAAAACUCUGUUAUUAGGGAAGAACAUAUGUGUAAGUAACUGUGCACAUCUUGACGGUACCUAAUCAGAAAGCCACGGCUAACUACGUG
rnacentral:rRNA from 1 species